GGUGGAGUCCCUGCAGGGCGUCGUGCUGCACGCAGAGGCUCCCAGUCCCCGACUUCGAGGUAGAGCAGCCUGGAAAAUGGACUCUUCAGGAAACAACCAGACUUGUGAGGGCAGGAACAUCGGACCUUUCUUUCCUGUGCCCCCCGUGACCCAGCAGCCUCUCCUGGGUCCCUGGUACCAGAAUGCCACCUAUAAUCCACUCUCCAUUCCAGGGGCAGGUUUCACAAAUGGAAGUCUGUAUUUUCCAUAUCCCAUGGUGUUCAUUGAGUAUCCUGGCUUCCUCGUCCCUCAGUCCCCAUUGCCCACUGCUCUUAACCAAAGACCCAUAGUCCCUCUGUUUUAUAGCAUGGCACCACAAUACGGUGGCCACUGCGAAAGAAUGAAAACAAAAGACACACAAACAGAAACUGAACCUCAACAGGAUGAAAACUUGAAUGAAAAUGAAGACAUGCCCUCAGAAGGGGACAGCCGUGACAUAGGAAGGGUGGCCAGUAACCCUACGGAUACAUUCUCCCCUGAGAAUGUAGAUGAAAAGAAAGAGGUAGAGAGCAGUAGCUACCCUGAGGGGCAUGUUCCCUCCCCUACCAGGUUGGCCCAGGUCGACAAAGUAGAUGGGACCACUCAGGGUGACACGAAGCAGUGCUGUGCUGCACAAUCUGGCCAAUCCCCUGAGUCUGCAUCAGAAAGCAG
rnacentral:lncRNA from 1 species